rfam:Eucalyptus grandis cultivar BRASTZ1 unplaced genomic scaffold scaffold_9, whole genome shotgun sequence.
GGCGAAGAUGAUGAGUGCUUUAUUCUGACACCUCUUGUAUGAGAGGAGCUCCCGAAAAUGGAGUUCUUCGCUGAGCACAUACAGCAACUCUCUGAGCC